CAUCGAGAGUGUGUCUGGAAGCUUUGGAGGUUCGUGUACGCGAAUUGGUAUUCAGCAGCAGUCGUCGAUCACAGAGAGAGAAACUGAACGUCCCACGACCUUGUCAGCAAUCCAUUAGGGCAGUGGUGGAAAAAUUGAAGAAGGCGACCGAUGACCAACGUAUAAACAAUUCUGUGUACAUGAAAAGAAAUUACAGCAAAGUUAUGGCCAUGUUGAAGCAAAGAAGAAGAUGAAGAAGGCGUGAAGAGAGUAGUAAGGAGACCAGAAGGCUGUAUGCAGACCAGGGUUGGGCAGUUGGUACCUGUGAAGGUAUGACAUCAUAUAGCUAUUCAGCACACUAUUUUAGAAUAAUGUUAUCACCC